rnacentral:piRNA from 1 species
UUGUGGUUGCAAGAAAUCUAGAGAAGG